UGUGAUUGAGGGCUGUCGACCUGUGUGUCCUGUGUGUUUCUCUUUGUCAGGUGUCGAGUGUUAACUUUAUGCCCUGGAUGUGAUUGAGGGCUGUCGACCUGUGUGUCCUGUGUGUUUCUCUUUGUCAGGUGUCGAGUGUUAACUUUAUGCCCUGGAUGUGAUUGAGAGCUGUCGACCUGUGUGUCCUGUGUGUUUCUCUUUGUCAGGUGUCGAGUGUUAACUUUAUGCCCUGGAUGUGAUUGAGAGCUGUCGACCUGUGUGUCCUGUGUGUUUCUCUUUGUCAGGUGUCGAGUGUUAACUUUAUGCCCUGGAUGUGAUUGAGAGCUGUCGACCUGUGUGUGUGUCCUGUGUGUUUCUCUUUGUCAGGUGUCGAGUGUUAACUUUAUGCCCUGGAUGUGAUUGAGAGCUGUCGACCUGUGUGUGUGUCCUGUGUGUUUCUCUUUGUCAGGUGUCGAGUGUUAACUUUAUGCCCUGGAUGUGAUUGAGAGCUGUCGACCUGUGUGUGUGUCCUGUGUGUUUCUCUUUGUCAGGUGUCGAGUGUUAACUUUAUGCCCUGGAUGUGAUUGAGAGCUGUCGACCUGUGUGUGUG